GAAGGCAAGCGGAUCUCUUAAAGCCGUUCUCAGUUCGGACUGUAGGCUGCAACUCGCCUACACGAAGCUGGAAUCGCUAGUAAUCGCGGAUCAGCACGCCGCGGUGAAUACGUUCCCGGGCCUUGUACACACCGCCCGUCACGACCAUGAGAGUCUGUAACACCCAAAGCCGGUGGGAUAACCUUUAUAGGAGUCAGCCGUCUAAGGUAGGACAGAUGAUUAGGGUGAAGUCGUAACAAGGUACC
rnacentral:rRNA from 1 species